rnacentral:rRNA from 1 species
GACGAACGCUGGCGGCGUGCUUAACACAUGCGAGUCGAACGAUGAAGCCGGAGCUUGCUCUGGUGAAUUAGUGGCGAACGGGUGAGUAACACGUGAGUAACCUGCCCUUGACUCUGGGAUAACUGCGGGAAACUGUAGCUAAUACCGGAUACGACCCUCGGAGGCAUCUCCUGGGGGUGGAAAGAAUUUCGGUCAAGGAUGGACUCGCGGCCUAUCAGCUAGUUGGUGAGGUAAAGGCUCACCAAGGCGACGACGGGUAGCCGGCCUGAGAGGGUGAACGGCCACAGUGGGACUGAGACACGGCCCAGACUCCUACGGGAGGCAGCAGUGGGGAAUAUUGCACAAUGGGCGCAAGCCUGGUGCAGCAACGCCGCGUGGGGGAUGACGGCCUUCGGGUUGUAAACCUCUUUUAGCAGGGAAGAAGCGAAAGUGACGGUACCUGCAGAAAAAGCACCGGCUAACUACGUGCCAGCAGCCGCGGUAA